CGUCCUGUCCUGUCCGCCCACCGUCGCCCUGUACGUACAACGGAAACUUCGGUCGCAUCCUCCGGCGGUACCCCCGCGGUGAGUCCGUGAGUAAACAGCCGGCGCGGAGAUGAAGGAUGUUUCAUUUUCUGAGCUCAGCUUAUCGUAUCUGGGUCUGAAAUUCAGGAGGGGGCGUAUGUUUAAGUGGUUUAAAGAGUCUUCGGCACUCAUUUGAAAGGCAAAAGGACCAGAGGACGAGAUCUAAAGCGUGAGCACCCCCAGCAGUGUGAUAAGGAGUGGUGUAAGGAGUGAUACGGUCACCGGGUGGUCCUGGAAACUGAUUUCUUCUCUUGAACUCUUCUGCAUUUCAGCAGCUCCCUACGAAUGUGUUAGAGGCUCUGCUGGCAUCAACUGACAUGGCUCAGCGGAGGAAAUCAACUCAGCUGUAUCUUGGCACAAUGAAUACCUUACCAGGAAUCACAUCUAUCUUUCAGGUUUAUCUAUCUCAUGCUGACACCUGUAAUGCCUCUCAAACUAGUAUUUGCUGAUGAAUUCAUGAGCAUACUAUUUAGCAGCUCCUCUUCGGAAAUUUCUGUUUUUAAUGGCAGUCGGGAAGCACUGAGACAAGGAUGAGCAGGCUACUUAAGCAGCUUAUUUAUCAGAACCAAAAGAAAACAUCCACAAGGACACUCAUAAUAGUACAACUCUUGGAGACCUUGCUGCAGUUGGAGGCCUUGUAUUAUGGCCUACAGUAAGACGUUGCCUUCUUGGAGGAGGUUUCAGUGUAAGAAAAAUCUGCCACAGGGAUGCAGAACGCAAGAGGAGAGUAAGGACCAACAAGGAGAAAAGCAAAGGACAGAAGAGUGCCCACCAAACUUACAGCUGAUGCAGUCAGAACUCACAGCCUGCAGCCUGAAUUGUGCUUAACAGUCCAAAGUGAGAAGAUGAUGAGCCUGACACCACUUCUUAAUCCAUUAAAUACUGUGACGAUGACUUCAGCUUCCAUGCUAUGUUUUACAUGACACCUAAUAGACAGCUAUACCUAGGAGAGAAUAUGAAGCCCUUCCUUGUUUUCUGCUGGGUUUCUCCUUGAAUUUUCUCAUAUAUCAAGUGUCUACAGACAUACGAUUCUGUUUUCUGCCAAGGGAUAUGAUGUAAUUGUUGGUUGCAAACCUCACAUUCAAACACAUUCUAAUUGAAACACUAAAGCAGUGGAUGAGGCCGAUUCAAAUCUGGCUAUGUAGAGGAUGGUCUCAUUCUUGCUGUUAUUGAUACUUGUAUCAGAGCCAUGUCAGUCGCUAAGGAUUUUGCUAGCAAAUCAUAUUCAAGGCCCCUUUUUAAGUUCUUCCUGCCAGCAUUCACAGAAAUCUAUCCCUUAUAUAUUAUCUUAAUCAGUCUCUGCUGAUUUUUGUAGGCUCUGUAAAAAUUGCUCAGUGAUCACAGAUUUCCCAGUGAUUGCAAUUUCCGUCCUGAAGCAUUAUUGGCCAACACAUCCUAGCACUUUAGUAUAUUCAUCUACUUGGGAUCUUUAGCCUGUCCUAACCUUCAGCUCACUGCCACCAGGGUAAGCACACUCCUCCAAGCUAGAGAAUACAGGAAGGAGCUUAGAAGCAAGUUCUUUUGUUUCUCUCCAAUGGGCCUGCAGAAGCGGAAGGGACCCAGAACUUUGAGGGUAAUUGUUGGUGAUUUAUUUUUCUCCUUUGUUCAUCCUUCCCAAUCAACAACUACGAGAGCCUUAAAAGUUCUGCAUUCCUCCCUUACCACAUUUCUUCUGUCAUUCUCUCUUUACCAGAUUUCUUCUGUCCUUCAGGGCUAUGUGAUUGAUGUUGUGGGGUAGCUACAGAGUACGUACCCAUCUCCCACAUCACCGGUACCAGCAUCAGUGAGCCUAAUGCUGUCAGCAAAGAUCCUAGUCUCUCUCCCUACCAGUUUAAUAGCUUCCCUACUUUUCUCUCUGACUCUCUGCUGUGUGGUGAGAGAGUCAUGUAUAUGCAUCAGCUUAUAACUCAUCAAAUGUGACCAAUAGUUUUAUGGUGCUUAAUGCAUGAGCUAAAUGUGAACUGAUGUGAACUGAAAUGUAAGGAAAUCACCAGGCAGCAGGUUUUAAACAAACAGAAAACAAUUGCUUUAAUAUGGUGCUUAAUACUGUUGUGGGAUUCAGUUGUUGUGGCAGCAAAAACGGGCUUUAAAAAGAUUGGGAAGAUUUGUGAAGGAUGAUUCCAUCCUUACCUAUUAAAUGUGAUGAUCCAAACGCAUCCUCUGACUCAGGAAACCACACAACUUUGCCAAAAGGUGCCUCAUUGUUCUAGGAGAAGAAAGUCUUCAGAGAGAAACAUUCUGUGAGCACCAACCUUGGCCCCUGUUGAUGGUAAGAUGUUGAGUUAGCUGACCUUUGGUAUGAAUGAACGCUGUUAUAUUUUUCCUUAAAGGUCUGCAUUUAGCUAAUAAAUCUUUUAUACUGAGUAA